CUCAGGUGUUGUUGGGUAGGGGAGCGUUCUGUAAGCCUGCGAAGGUGGCCUGUGAGGGUUGCUGGAGGUAUCAGAAGUGCGAAUGCUGACAUAAGUAACGAUAAAGCGGGUGAAAAGCCCGCUCGCCGGAAGACCAAGGGUUCCUGUCCAACGUUAAUCGGGGCAGGGUGAGUCGACCCCUAAGGCGAGGCCGAAAGGCGUAGUCGAUGGGAAACGGGUUAAUAUUCCCGUACUUGGUGUUACUGCGAAGGGGGGACGGAGAAGGCUAUGUUGGCCGGGCGACGGUUGUCCCGGUUUAAGCGUGUAGGUGUGUGUUCCAGGUAAAUCCGGUUCACUUUAACACUGAGGCGUGACGACGAGGCACUACGGUGCUGAAGCAACAAAUGCCCUGCUUCCAGGAAAAGCCUCUAAGCAUCAGGUAACAUCAAAUCGUACCCCAAACCGACACAGGUGGUCAGGUAGAGAAUACCAAGGCGCUUGAGAGAACUCGGGUGAAGGAACUAGGCAAAAUGGUGCCGUAACUUCGGGAGAAGGCACGCUGACAUGUAGGUGAAGUGAUUUACUCAUGGAGCUGAAGUCAGUCGAAGAUACCAGCUGGCUGCAACUGUUUAUUAAAAACACAGCACUGUGCAAACACGAAAGUGGACGUAUACGGUGUGACGCCUGCCCGGUGCCGGAAGGUUAAUUGAUGGGGUCAGCGCAAGCGAAGCUCCUGAUCGAAGCCCCGGUAAACGGCGGCCGUAACUAUAACGGUCCUAAGGUAGCGAAAUUCCUUGUCGGGUAAGUUCCGACCUGCACGAAUGGCGUAAUGAUGGCCAGGCUGUCUCCACCCGAGACUCAGUGAAAUUGAACUCGCUGUGAAGAUGCAGUGUACCCGCGGCAAGACGGAAAGACCCCGUGAACCUUUACUAUAGCUUGACACUGAACAUUGAGCCUUGAUGUGUAGGAUAGGUGGGAGGCUUUGAAGUGUGGACGCCAGUCUGCAUGGAGCCGACCUUGAAAUACCACCCUUUAAUGUUUGAUGUUCUAACGUGGACCCGUGAUCCGGGUUGCGGACAGUGUCUGGUGGGUAGUUUGACUGGGGCGGUCUCCUCCUAAAGAGUAACGGAGGAGCACGAAGGUUGGCUAAUCCUGGUCGGACAUCAGGAGGUUAGUGCAAUGGCAUAAGCCAGCUUGACUGCGAGCGUGACGGCGCGAGCAGGUGCGAAAGCAGGUCAUAGUGAUCCGGUGGUUCUGAAUGGAAGGGCCAUCGCUCAACGGAUAAAAGGUACUCCGGGGAUAACAGGCUGAUACCGCCCAAGAGUUCAUAUCGACGGCGGUGUUUGGCACCUCGAUGUCGGCUCAUCACAUCCUGGGGCUGAAGUAGGUCCCAAGGGUAUGGCUGUUCGCCAUUUAAAGUGGUACGCGAGCUGGGUUUAGAACGUCGUGAGACAGUUCGGUCCCUAUCUGCCGUGGGCGCUGGAGAACUGAGGGGGGCUGCUCCUAGUACGAGAGGACCGGAGUGGACGCAUCACUGGUGUUCGGGUUGUCAUGCCAAUGGCACUGCCCGGUAGCUAAAUGCGGAAGAGAUAAGUGCUGAAAGCAUCUAAGCACGAAACUUGCCCCGAGA
rnacentral:rRNA from 1 species